GGAACUCAUCCUCAAGCUGAGCCAUCUCCCCUUCCGCCCCUUAGGUUGAGGACUUGAGGUGCCCUUGUGUUAGAGCCUUGCUUGUGGUGUUUUUUUUUAAAGAGCCUAGCCCAGUUGAUGAUGCCCCCCUUCAGAGCAGGAACUGACCUCUCU